rnacentral:rRNA from 1 species
UACAGAGGUCCCAAGCGUUGUUCGGAUUCACUGGGCUUAAAGGGCGCGUAGGCGGGCCAUCAAGUCAGGGGUGAAAUCUUUCGGCUCAACCGGAAAAGUGCCUUUGAUACUGGUGGUCUCGAGGGAGGUAGGGGCAUGCGGAACUUCCGGUGGAGCGGUGAAAUGCGUAGAUAUCGGAAGGAACGCCGGUGGCGAAGGCGGUUCUCUGGGCAUUACCUGACGCUGAGGAGCGAAAGUGUGGGGAGCGAACAGG